UAAAUACUCCCUCCAUCCAACAAAAACGUCUCGAGUUUGUCAAAAUUUGAAUGUAUCUAGACAUGACUUAGUGUAUAGAUUCAUUUAAAUUUAAUCAAAGUUGAGACAUCCUUCGUUGGACGAAGGGAGUACUUC
rfam:Brachypodium distachyon strain Bd21 chromosome 2, whole genome shotgun sequence.